UGUCUGGGAAACUGCCUGAUGGAGGGGGAUAACUACUGGAAACGGUAGCUAAUACCGCAUAACGUCGCAAGACCAAAGAGGGGGACCUUCGGGCCUCUUGCCAUCGGAUGUGCCCAGAUGGGAUUAGCUAGUAGGUGGGGUAACGGCUCACCUAGGCGACGAUCCCUAGCUGGUCUGAGAGGAUGACCAGCCACACUGGAACUGAGACACGGUCCAGACUCCUACGGGAGGCAGCAGUGGGGAAUAUUGCACAAUGGGCGCAAGCCUGAUGCAGCCAUGCCGCGUGUAUGAAGAAGGCCUUCGGGUUGUAAAGUACUUUCAGCGGGGUGGAAGGGAGUAAAGUUAAUACCUUUGCUCAUUGACGUUACCCGCAGAAGAAGCACCGGCUAACUCCGUGCCAGCAGCCGCGGUAAUACGGAGGGUGCAAGCGUUAAUCGGAAUUACUGGGCGUAAAGCGCACGCAGGCGGUUUGUUAAGUCAGAUGUGAAAUCCCCGGGCUCAACCUGGGAACUGCAUCUGAUACUGGCAAGCUUGAGUCUCGUAGAGGGGGGUAGUAUUCCAGGUGUAGCGGUGAUAUGCGUAGAGAUCUGGAGGAUACCGGUGGCGAAGGC
rnacentral:rRNA from 1 species